AACGCGAAGAACCUUACCAAGGCUUGACAUAUACAGGAAUACGGCAGAGAUGUCGUAGCCGCAAGGUCUGUAUACAGGUGGUGCAUGGUUGUCGUCAGCUCGUGUCGUGAGAUGUUGGGUUAAGUCCCGCAACGAGCGCAACCCUCGUCCUGUGUUACCAGCAUUUAGUUGGGGACUCACAGGAGACUGCCGGGGUCAACUCGGAGGAAGGUGGGGAUGACGUCAAAUCAUCAUGCCCCUUAUGUCUUGGGCUGCACGCAUGCUACAAUGGCUGGUACAAAGAGCUGCAAUACCGCAAGGUGGAGCGAAUCUCAAAAAGCCAGUCUCAGUUCGGAUUGGGGUCUGCAACUCGACCCCAUGAAGUCGGAGUUGCUAGUAAUCGUAGAUCAGCAACGCUACGGUGAAUACGUUCCCGGGUCUUGUACACACCG
rnacentral:rRNA from 1 species